rnacentral:ncRNA from 1 species
UAACCUAUACAGUGAUGUAUAGCUGAAAUCUAAGAAGUCAGCAGAGGUCAUAUUAGCAAAAGGGUCAAGAACCUUUUGUGAAGGAC